CGCGUAGGUGGUAGUGCAAGUCUGGGGUGGAAUCCCAGGGCUUAACCCUGGAACUGCCUUGGAAACUGUAUUACUUGAGUCAGUGAGGGGAGGGUAGAAUUCCUGGUGUAGCGGUGAAAUGCGUAGAUAUCAGGAGGAAGGCCUGUGGCGAAGGCGGCCCUCUGGCGCUGAACUGACACUGAGGCGCGAAAGCGUGGGUAGCAAACAGGAUUAGAUACCCUGGUAGUCCACGCCCUAAACGGUGGGUACUAGGUGUGGGGCCCGUAAGGGUUCUGUGCCGAAGCGAAAGCAUUAAGUACCCCGCCUGGGGAGUACGGCCGCAAGGUUGAA
rnacentral:rRNA from 1 species